AUUGAACGCUGGCGGCAGGCCUAACACAUGCAAGUCGAGCGGAUGAAGGGAGCUUGCUCCUGGAUUCAGCGGCGGACGGGUGAGUAAUGCCUAGGAAUCUGCCUGGUAGUGGGGGAUAACGUCCGGAAACGGGCGCUAAUACCGCAUACGUCCUGAGGGAGAAAGUGGGGGAUCUUCGGACCUUACGCUAUCAGAUGAGCCUAGGUCGGAUUAGCUAGUUGGUGGGGUAAAGGCCUACCAAGGCGACGAUCCGUAACUGGUCUGAGAGGAUGAUCAGUCACACUGGAACUGAGACACGGUCCAGACUCCUACGGGAGGCAGCAGUGGGGAAUAUUGGACAAUGGGCGAAAGCCUGAUCCAGCCAUGCCGCGUGUGUGAAGAAGGUCUUCGGAUUGUAAAGCACUUUAGGUUGGGAGGAAGGGCAGUAAGUUAAUACCUUGCUGUUUUGACGUUACCAACAGAAUAAGCACCGGCUAACUUCGUG
rnacentral:rRNA from 1 species